rnacentral:lncRNA from 1 species
AUGGAGUCCCCACUGCACCAUCAGUCGCUUCCUUCAUUUACCUCCAGGCUUAGCACACUGCAACUUCCUGUCCCAUCCCCUUGCCCCCAACCCCGGGACGAGGCGGCUCACUUCCCAAGAUAUUCUUUGCUCAGCAGCUGUGAUGAUGGCUCCACAGUCAUGGCUGUGGCAGCUCAGUUCACAGAGCUAAAUGUGGCUUCCCUUCGGGACUUGCUGCCUCUCCCUGACCUCUUCCGGGGGUCUCAACUCCUGCCCACAAACCUUCCAGUAAAAACUGCUCCCCCGCCCCUCAGCCUGAGGCAGGAAAACAAGGCAGUUAGUCACUUUACUUCCUUUAUCAACCAGUGUCAUGUGGCUGGCUCCUUUACUGGCUGUUGUCAUGACAACAGGAAGCCAAUCCCUUCUAGCUCUAGGAACCAAAACAAAAUUAAGGGGUGGCAGGGAGGACAAGAGCCAGGAAGGAGCAGGGUAGAGCUGCUUGGAGUCACCUGGAGGAAAUCAUACCGAGGCCAUCCUAUCUCCAGCUCUCCCUUGGUAGCCGGGGAGGGGAAACACACCCACACACACACACACCCACACACACACACACCCACACACUAAAACAACUCAAUCCUGCUCUGGAGAAGCUCAGGCAAAUGUAGUGGGCAUUUUCAUAUAGGUUAUACUGCCAGGUGAGUAAUCUUCAUUCCCAUAAUGGAUAAACCAAAACUGAGACCCUUGUGAAGAUAAAGACAGUCACUUGUUCAAGGACACACAAUUCCAUGCACCCUAAAUUUCAGCUCCUUUCUUUCCAGAUUGCCAGUGUUCUUCCUCCCCGUCCUUCUCCCCUUGUUUGGUCUCACCAGCAUGAUUAUUCUUUCUCUCUGCUCCAGCUACCUGGCUUCCCCCAAAUCCACCUUGUUUCCUCCAGCCACAGUCCCUGUCCAUACACUUCCCACUGCCAGAAUGCUUUUUUCUCCUCUCCCCCUACCUCACACCACUACCUACAUAGACUACUCAUCUUUUAUAUGCUCUUCAACAUCACAUCCUUGUUACAGAACUUCCUCUACCCCCUGCACGGUUUCAUUUCUGCCUUGUUCUGUGAUCUUUUCUUGAUGCUGGGGAUGGAACCCAGGGUCUCACAUGUGCUAGGCCACUGCUCUACUACUAAGCUGUACCUCAGUCCUUUUUGUAUUCUUGUGGUGCCAAUUGCCUCCCCUCAGACCUUGUGCACCUUAUUCUCCUAAUCACACUCAAGGGUCUGCCAGAGUCUCCUGCAGUCAGAUGUCAGUGCCAGGAAGACAGACCAGGCCUGUUUUGUUUACUGCUAUGCCCAGAAGCUUGCUCAGUGAUAUAUCUUUUCAGGAAUUGGAUCCAGGAUUUGAAUUCUGCUCUGGUUGAGUCCAAGUGCCGUGUGUGUGUGUGUGUGUGUGUGUGUGUGUGUGUGUGUGUGUGUGUGUGUGUGUGGUGCUGGGGAUCAAACUCAGGGCCUUGCACAUGCUAGGCAAGUGCUGUAGCCAAGUGCCCUACCACUCAGCCACAUUUCCAGCCCUAACCAAACACAUUCUUGCCCUGCCACCUGAGCACUGGGUCCUGAGGACUUCCUAUGUCAGCACUGGACAGAGCUUACAGCUCCAUGGCCUCUAAUUUCCCCUUGGUGGCUGCAGUGGCUCAGACCAAGCCUGCACACAUGCCUGGCUUAUCUAAAACAGAAGCUGAUCAUUAAGGUACUCUUUCCAGAAAAGAGGGGUGAGGCUAUGACAAGCAGAGAUGUAACUCCUCUGAAUCUUGAGGAUUGAGAGAAGAAAAGAGGUGGCCUGACUCUUAGAUUUCUAGGCAAGAGCUGUUCCAUUCCAUUGGAGAUGAGCUUUCUAAUAUUGGAGAAAUCCCACCAUUCAACCCCUGCUGUCCCCAGAGGUGAGCAAAGGAAGGAAAGAACAGGGGAUGUCUGCUCUGGAGGGCACAGAUUUGUCACCAAACUCUCAGGGGCACAACAGGGAGCUCAAAAAUGGCAGAUUUUAACCUGUCCCCUGUACCUAUUCUGCUCCUAGAAACAACCUCUACUCUCUCUGGUCCAGGAUAUUCUCAUUUGUACAAUGAAGAUUAUGUCAGCCACACAUUCCAAGGCUGAGGCACUGUACAGGCAUAGAUAGGCAUGUCUUGUGGCUCUGACAUCAGACAGACUUGGGAGGUAACUCCUGACUGUGCCCCUUCUUGGUUUGGUGGUCGUCCCCCCCCACCAGGCCCCCAUAAGCCUCAGUUUCCUUGUCUAUAAAAUGGAGACAACUCCACCCACUUCAUAAGGUUAAUGUGUACUCAGGGUAGGGCAAAUAGCUGCCCCCUGUAAAUAGAAGCUAUCAUUAAUGAAAUAAUUGGCCUCAAUAAAUGCAGAAUAAAUUUAGAAACAGCCACGAAUUUGCAACCAAGAAACUUGUCCUCUGAUUCUAGAUGUGCAGUUUAAGAGAUCUGCCUCUAACAAGGUUCUGUCCCUACCCAUCUCAGGCAACAAGCAGGGCAAGAAGAGAAGCUAGCUUCAGCCUCAAGCCAGGAGAAACCUCAUUCCAAGCCCCAAAUUUGGCUGCCCAGCCCUCUGGCCACCAGGAGCAAUGCCUGCCCAGCAGCCCAACCUCAACUGACAUGCACCAGGUCUGGAACACUGUAACUAUUGCUUCCUUCUACAGAUGGGGAAACUGAGUCCUAGACCUGUGCAGGGUUCUGAGGGGCUGCUGGCAGAGCUGGGAACAGGAACUCAGUCAGAACCUUCCCCAGAUGAGUUUUCUGACACUUUUCUGCCUACAGCUGCCUUCCUCAACUGAACAACCAUUUCAUUAAAAAGAAAGGCUGAGAUGGAAACUUCCAGGCUUUCUGAAGAACCUCAUGUAUCUUGCAUGUCUCUUUAUUUUAAAACACCAGAAUGUGAAGCUAGCCCUAAAGCUGAUUCUUUAAACAAAAAGGGGCAUGACACACACAGAGACACAUAAACACUGAUCUGUGUACAUGCUCCCCGUGAAGGGUGGGGCAGCAACAGGUCCCAGCCUGGAGGCUGACCUUUCUGGCUGGCUGCCUUCCUGCAGGAAGGGGCUUCUGUAUGUCUCAGUGGUGCCACCUCAACACACGUUCACGACUGGAUGGGAAGCCAAGCACAGGGAGCAGGUUUGCACACAAGGUCUACAGCCAUGCAGGGUCCCCGGCAGAGAACUAAAAAGAUUCACAUGGCAGCAAUGGUAUCUCAGGCUGAGAGAUGAGAGUGGACAACAUAAACACAUACGUGGUCGCAGCCUUACAUUCACGCAGACUUAUGUAUCACACAAAUACACAUACAUAGGUUCACGCUCAGAAAAUUAUACCCACAUACUGAUAAACGUACACGUGAUAGAGAUUAACUUAGCUAUCUCCAGAGAGGUGUACAUUAUACACACACACACAGCCACAUGUCCUCACCUACACAGGUGUGUGCAUAUACACAUUCUCACGCAGUACAGCCACCUAAAUGCUACUCCUGCCCCGGUCACUACAAACUCUCCCCUCCUCUUCAACAACCUGGGAGGGCAAUGGCAGUAAACACUAAAGGAAGAUCCUCACUGAGCCCACCCACUUGCUCCCUACAAGAUUCCCACCUACACGCUGCCCGCUACACCCACACCUGGGGGGAGGCGUCCUCGCGCUGCCUUCCGCACAUCGAUGAAAAACACCGAGAUUCCCCUCCCCCACUCGAAGCCCUCGGACCCCAAACUCCACCUGCCUUCAGGUCCGCGGAAGGCAGCGCCCAGGGGGCGGGGGAGAGACCGCCCCUGAAGUAGCUGCCCUUCGCGCCUCGGCCACCCCCGCCCCGGGGUCGCCGGCACCUACCUCCUUUUUCACGGUGCGCAGCAGCUUCUGCCGGGUCUCCGCCUCUGGGGACAAGCGGGAAAGCCCGUCAGNNNNNNNNNNNNNNNNNNNNNNNNNNNNNNNNNNNNNNNNNNNNNNNNNNNNNNNNNNNNNNNNNNNNNNNNNNNNNNNNNNNNNNNNNNNNNNUGAGCAGCCCGAGCUGCUGCCCUCCCGCCCCGCGCCCGUCCUUACCCACGGGGGCCGAAGUCAUGGCUGGCGGGAUCCGGAGCUGUCAGUGCUGGCAGCAGACCCUCCUCUCGUUUCUCCACUCAGAACUACCGCAGCCGCGCGGGGCGUGGCCGAGCGUGGGGGAUGGCGUAGGCGUGACGUCAGGGGCGGGGUCGACAUGGGCUCCUCCUCCCCCACUCCGUGAACUACUGCAGCCGCGCGGGGCGGGGCCAAGAGUGAGGGCGGAGUAGGGCGCUGACAUCAGGGGCGGGAUCGGAUGUGGGUUCUCUAUCCGAAUUGCUGCAGCUGCUUGGGGUGGAGCCGAGAGUGAUUGACGGCAGAGGUCAUGACGUCAGGGAGGGGGCGGGGCGGGCCGUGCUUCCUGCUCAGCCCAGCCAACUUCUGAAGCCACGCGGGGAGGGAUUAAUCGUGAUGGACGGCUGAGAGUGUGACGUCAGGAGCGGGAGUCGACGCUCCUCCCCAGCAGAGGGAAGCCGCGCGGGGCGGGGCCGGGUGUGAUAGACAGCAGGGGGCACGGACGUCGUCAGGGAAGGGGGCGGGGGCAGCUCCUCCUCCUUGCGCUGCGAACUUGUGCAUCCCUUCGGGGAGGGUCAGUCGUGUGUAACGAGGUUGAGUGAGGGCGUCGGGACUAGUGGCCGCCCCAUUCUGCAGCCACA